UUCGCAAUGCCCGAAAGGGUGACGAAGCGACGCCGCGUGGGUGAGGAAGGCCUUCGGGUUGUAAAGCCCUGUCAGGAGUUAAGAAAUGUAGACUCGCUAAUAUCGCAUUUACUUGACGAAGGCUCCAAAGGAAGUCACGGCUAACUCUGUGCCAGCAGCCGCGGUAAUACAGAGGUGGCAAGCGUUGUUCGGAACUAUUGGGCGUAAAGAGCACGUAGGUGGGUUUGUAAGUCAGAUGUGAAAGCCUCCUGUUCAACGGGAGAAUUGCAUCUGAAACUACUGAUCUUGAGUAUAGGAGGGGAGAAUGGAACUUCUGGUGGAGCGGUGAAAUGCGUAGAUAUCAGAAGGAACGCCGGCGGCGAAAGCGAUUCUCUGGCCUAUUACUGACACUCAGUGUGCGAAAGCUAGGGGAGCAGACGGGAUUAGAUACCCCGGUAGUCCUAGCCGUAAACGAUGGGCACUAAGUAGAGGGGUUUU
rnacentral:rRNA from 2 species